CUCGCUCAGGCACUGGAAAAGUAAUAAAAAUCCAGCGGCUAGUUUGCUUCUCCGCAGCCUCGCCAUAGCACGGAGCCUGCCGAGAGCUUUUGUGAAGGCCAUGCAGGGGAAGCUGUGAGGUUCGACUCUGCGAUGGGAAAAACAGACUGAAGUUCAGCACCUCUCGCAGCCUACAACCUCUGUUAGCUUGCUGCUAUCUUCUACUAGGAGACAAUGCCAAGACACAAGGCAUUCCACCACCUUUCCAAGACCAUCUUCAGCAUCUUCAUCUAUCACCUUUCCACAGCCUGAUUUGCUGUAUUUAUAGCAGCUGUCCCUCAUUAGCUUGGGGGGGGAGGGGGGACAAAAUCUGAAAAGUUAUACAAUUUCAAUCAUAACCUGCAUAAAGACCUACCCAUGGCUGAAAUUAUUAAAGUAGCAGGAACAGAGGUCUUAAAGAGGCAAUCCUGUGCUGGUAUUGUUCUUAGCAGCUAUUCCUUGACAUCAGACGUAACUAUCUUCGUGAACACAAGGAAGUGAUCUGCAUAGGUAGGAAGUGUUUGGGUUUCAGAGAGAAUAAUAUGGUAAAGAUAUUUGUUGAAGAUAAUUUCAGCUAUCAGUUUUUUUUGACCAUUGCUCUGAAAUAUCAAUAUUAAAGAUGUCAUUCUACUUUUUGAUUGAUUGCUGUGGUUAUGAAAACAAAGUAAUUUCUCCAAAUCUUAGCUCUGAAUUGAUCAUGUA